rnacentral:lncRNA from 1 species
AGCAAUGGCGGCACCAUGGCCGCUGGGGAUGAGCGCGUCGGAGUGUUGACGACGCCGACGCCGCGUGGCGUUACACCGGGAAGCAAGCUGAAGGCAAACAGCGACACACGCAACUUUGACGGCAAGGACCUUCACGACUUGGUCAAGUUGUCCUGGCAGGAUUACUCAGAUGUGAGCCGCGUGCAGAGGAUGGUGGAAGUGGGGCUGAGCAGCAACACCACGGAGGCGUCCAGAGCUGAGGCGUUGAUGCAAAUUCGGGAGGUGAGGUCGACAGGGGGGGGAGAAAGGGAGAGAGAGAGAAAGGGGGGAAAGGGGAAAGGGGGAGGGGGGGGGAGAGAGAGAGAGAGAGGCGGACAGAGAGAGGCGGAUAGAGAUAGGUGGGGAGCGCAAGGGAGACGGCGGGGCUCUCAUGUAUAUGUGUAGAUAGAUGCGUAAAUAUAUAUACGCACGUAUAAUACGUAUGUGAAUGCAAGUGCGUACGUAGACGUAUCGAUGUAUAUCUAUGUAUAUGUAUAUCUAUGUAUAUGUAUAUGCAUGUAUGUAAUGUGCGUGUUGCACUUACCAAAAGUUGCGUUGCUCUUCCAAGGUGUAAUGGGGCCAUACGAGCCGGGGGCCAAAGAGCCGGUCUAGGGCUGUCCGAAAAUGGUUUUGUUGAAUUAGCUGAACUAUCUAGACUGUUAUGCUGUUGCAGUGCGCCUACCGGCUACCUAAGACCCUCCCUAGCCAGGUUUGGUGGAUAUGGAGGUUUGCCAACCCAACUUCGGCUGGUCAUCCGCUACCAUCACAUGCUCUAUCGUCUGAUCCACGUGAAACCCGAUAGGACACUGCAUGUGCUGCAAAAGAACAUGAUUUUCGUCUUCCACGGCUUGAGGCUCGGCAAACUUGCUGAUAUCGCUCGUAAGCCCGCAGCGGGUAAUCCGGCCCAAACAGUAAAAUGCAAGCUCCCCGCUUAAACUUAUGUGAGCAAGGGACCCCGAUUCGGUAACUACAUUUAUUCCAAGAACCGAUAGCGCGCUAGGCCCAAAAGGAAUUUAGGAGAAUUUGCGAGAACUCAGCAAACAGCA